rfam:Capsicum annuum cultivar Zunla-1 chromosome 7, whole genome shotgun sequence
ACUUCGUGGUUGGGACAUUGCAUGAGCUUCCCUUUGAAUCUCUCCCACACCUCGAAUAGAGGUUCUCCAUUCAAUUAUCAAAAAUUGUGAUCUCAUCAUGGAAUU